rnacentral:tRNA from 1 species
GCCUCGCUGCGGCAGUGGCAGCGCCCAGGCGAGUCUCAUAUCUCGAGGUCGUGAGUUCGAACCUCACUCUGGGCA